rnacentral:rRNA from 1 species
UUUUUCGAAAGGUAUGCUUAAAGAGGGGCUUGCGCCAUAUUAGUUAGUUGGUAGGGUAAAAGCCUACCAAGACGAUGAUAUGUAGCUGGACUGAGAGGUUGAACGGCCACAUUGGGACUGAGACACGGCCCAAACUCCCACGGGAGGCAGCAGUAGGGAAUUUUCGGCAAUGGAGGAAACUCUGACCGAGCAACGUCGCGUGAACGAUGAAGUAUUUCGGUAUGUAAAGUUCUUUUAUUGAAGAAGAAAAAAUAGUGGAAAAACUAUCUUGACGCUAUUCAAUGAAUAAGCCCUGGCUAAUUAUGUGCCAGCAGCCGCGGUAAUACAUAAAGGGCGAGCGUUAUCCGGAAUUAUUGGGCGUAAAGGGUGCGUAGGCGGUUUGUUAAGUCUUUAGUUUAAUCUCAGUGCUUAACGCUGUUCUGCUAGAGAAACUGACUUACUAGAGUGAGAUAGAGGCAAGUGGAAUUCCAUGUGUCAGCGGUAAAAUGCGUAAAUAUAUGGAGGAACACCAGAGGCGUAGGCGGCUUGCUGGGUCUAUACUGACGCUGAGGCACGAAAGCGUGGGGAGCAAACAGGAUUAGAUACCCUGGUAGUCCACGCCGUAAACGAUGAGUACUAAGUGUCGGGGAAACUCGGUACUGAAGUUAACACAUUAAGUACUCCGCCUGAGUAGUACGUACGCAAGUAUGAAACUUAAAGGAAUUGACGGGAUCCCGCACAAGCGGUGGAUCAUGUUGUUUAAUUCGAAGAUACACGAAAAACCUUACCAGGUCUUGACAUACUCUGCAAAGCUGUAGAAAUACAGUGGAGGUUAUCAGGGAUACAGGUGGUGCAUGGUUGUCGUCAGCUCGUGUCGUGAGAUGUUAGGUUAAGUCCUAGAACGAGCGCAACCCUUGUCGUUAGUUACCAGCACGUUAUGGUGGGCACUUUAACGAGACUGCCAAUGAAAUAUUGGAGGAAGGUGAGGAUUACGUCAAAUCAUCAUGCCCCUUAUGAUCUGGGCUACAAACGUGAUACAAUGGCUGUUACAAAGAGUAGCUGAAACGUGAGUUUUUGGCCAAUCUCAAAAAAACAGCCUCAGUUCGGAUUGAAGUCUGCAACUCGACUUCAUGAAGUUGGAAUCGCUAGUAAUCGCAAAUCAGCAUGU